AAGAACGCCACCACCGGCUCAGCUCGGCUCAGUUUUAGUAUAAGGAGGACGGCUCAAGCUCAGCCAGCGAGGGCGUCGGCGCCGGCGACGAUCUCGAGGAUCUCCCCGGUGAUCUUGGCCUGGCGCUGGCGGUUGUAGGCGAUGGAGAGGUUCUUGCGGAGCUCGAUGGCGUUGUCGGUGGCGCUGCUCAUGGCGCUCAUCCGGGCGGCGAGCUCGCUGGCGAGCGACUCCUGCAGGGCGCGGAGGAUCUGGCUGUUGAGGUAGAGCGGGAGCAGCGCGUCGAGGAUCUGCACGGGGUCCUGCUCGAACUGCACCACGGGGGAGAAGGGCUGCGUCUCGAUCUUCACCUUCUCGCGCUCCACGGUGAGCUUCCCCUCCUUGGUG
rnacentral:lncRNA from 1 species